UACGUAGGGACCAAGCGUUGUUCGGAUUUACUGGGCGUAAAGGGCGCGUAGGCGGCGUGUUAAGUCACUUGUGAAAUCUCUAAGCUUAACUUAGAACGGUCAAGUGAUACUGAUGUGCUAGAGUGCAGAAGGGGCAACCGGAAUUCUUGGUGUAGCGGUGGAAUGCGCAGAUAUCAGGAGGAACACCGAUGGCGAAGGCAGGUCUCUGGGCCAUUACUGACACUGAGAAGCGAAAGCAUGGGGAGCGAACAGG
rnacentral:rRNA from 1 species